GGCCGGGUGGUGGAAUUGGCAGACACAGGGGACUUAAAAUCCCCCGGCGAGUAAUCGCUGUACGGGUUCAAGUCCCGUCCCGGCCAC
rnacentral:tRNA from 1 species